rnacentral:rRNA from 1 species
GACGAACGCUGGCGGCGUGCCUAAUACAUGCAAGUAGAACGCUGAAGGAGGAGCUUGCUUCUCUGGAUGAGUUGCGAACGGGUGAGUAACGCGUAGGUAACCUGCCUGGUAGCGGGGGAUAACUAUUGGAGACGAUAGCUAAUACCGCAUAAUAGUAGAUGUUGCAUGACAUUUGCUUAAAAGGUGCAAUUGCAUCACUACCAGAUGGACCUGCGUUGUAUUAGCUAGUUGGUGAGGUAACGGCUCACCAAGGCGACGAUACAUAGCCGACCUGAGAGGGUGAUCGGCCACACUGGGACUGAGACACGGCCCAGACUCCUACGGGAGGCAGCAGUAGGGAAUCUUCGGCAAUGGACGGAAGUCUGACCGAGCAACGCCGCGUGAGUGAAGAAGGUUUUCGGAUCGUAAAGCUCUGUUGUAAGAGAAGAACGAGUGUGAGAGUGGAAAGUUCACACUGUGACGGUAUCUUACCAGAAAGGGACGGCUAACUACGUG